GACGAACGCUGCCGGCGUGCCUAAUACAUGCAAGUCGAACGUUUUGUUUAUCACCGUAGCUUGCUACACCGAUAAACAUUGAGUGGCGAACGGGUGAGUAACACGUGGGUAACCUGCCGCAAAGCGGGGGAUAACAUUUGGAAACAGAUGCUAAUACCGCAUAACCACAGAAACCACAUGGUUUCUGUGUCAAAGAUGGUUUCGGCUAUAACUUUGGGAUGGAACCGCGGAGUAUUAGCUAGUUGGUAAGGUAAUGGCUUACCAAUGGAAAUGAUACGUAGCCGAACUGAGAGGUUGAUCGGCCACAUUGGGACUGAGACACGGCCCAAACUCCUACGGGAGGCAGCAGUAGGGAAUCUUCCACAAUGGACGAAAGUCUGAUGGAGCAACGCCGCGUGAGUGAAGAAGGUUUUCGGAUCGUAAAACUCUGUUGUCAGAGAAGAACGUGUGCGAGAGUAACUGCUCGUGCAGUGACGGUAUCUGGCCAGAAAGCCACGGCUAACUACGUGCCAGCAGCCGCAGUAA
rnacentral:rRNA from 1 species